ensembl:lncRNA
AGAGAAACCCAUGGCUGAGAGAGAAACCAUUCUUUCCUGCUUUCCCUCUUUUUUACCUCUAUUACCUUCAUUCUCAUCUCUACUUUUGUUGCUUUCCUUCAUUUCUCACAUUUAUCAACUUCUCUCCAUCUCAACUAUUUCAUUGAAAACUCUCAUUCUUCCGUCAUAUUUUUUUUUUGUCUUAAAAAAUUUUUUUUUUCACUUUUUAGGGUCACACCUGCAGCAUUUCAAGUUCCCAGGCUACUAGGGGUUGAACAGAAGCUGCAGCUGCUGGCUGACACCACAGCCACAGCAACAUGGGAUCUGAGCCUCACCUGCAACCUCUGCUGCAGCUUGUGGCAACGCUGGAUCCUUAACCCACUGAGUGAGGCCAGGGGUAGAACCUGCAUCCUCAUGGAUGCUAGUUGGAUUCUUAACCUGGUGAGCCACGAUGGGAAUUCCUCAUCAUUUUUCAUACCAUUGAACUCCUUAACAUAGUUUUCUGAGCCUCUGGCCUCAUUUUGCCCUUGAUGCCCUCUCCCACAGCACACACAACACCCUCACCUGUGCUGGCUGCACCCAUGUCCUUGAUGUGUCUUGGCUGUGCCAUUCUUUCUGUUUCUCCUCUGCCAGUUUUGUCAGGAUGCUUUGGUGGCGGUUGUUUUCUCUUUUCCUAACUCCUGCCAAUUCCUUAGGUCUCCAUUCAUUUGUCACCGCUUCCAGGAAGUCUUUUCAUCUCUCAGGCUGGGUUAGGUGUACCUUCUCAGGGAGCUUCCAUGUAUUUCUCUCAUGGCACAGUAUUAAGCUUGUUUAGUUAUUUAUCUGUGUACCAUCCCUCUUCUCCUUGAUUAAUACUGUAUGUUCUUCCAGGUCAAAGACUGAUGUAUUUUCCUUUGUGCUUCCUAUUGCUUAUCACAGUACCUGGCACAUAGCAGUUACUAAUAAAUGUAUAUUGAAUGAAUGAAUAAAUGUAUUCACCAUUCUCAGAAACACUUACUUGUCUAUUUCCAAAAACCAUAUUCUUUUACCAGGAACAAACCUUUCUAAGUGUCAGCUUCCUUAUUUAUAAAAGAGAAGAGUAUACUGGGUGAUCUCUGAAGUCCUUUACAGUCUUUUAACGAAUUGUAUUUAUAAUUUUAAGAUUUAUCGUCCUUGAGCCUAUUCAAAAGAAAAUGAUGCAAAUUCUGGAUGCAAAACUGAGAUGCAAAAUAUUUUGAGCUAUGCUAGACACGCUGAAAUAAUAAUUUGGCUUUUUGGUUAUACGGUGUAACUACAUGUGUCAGGUUCUAAUGGUCUGAGCACUUGAACAUUUGAGUAGUUUACUUUGAUCAGUUUCUGUCCCUUUGCUUAUAUAUCUAAAUCAUUGUAGAAAUACUGUAAAUUCUCCUUUGCUAAAGAUUUUUAGGUAAAAAUUAGACAGGUGUGUCUAGUGGAUAUUGUAGAUAGGAUUUAAGAUGUGAUUAUAUAAUGGUGGAACCCAGUUGACCUCUAAGAUCUUGCCUAGUAAUGAGGUUUCUUCAAUUUUGUGGUUUACAGUUUUUGUUUUUAUACAACAGAGAAAAAAAGUUGGCUUUUAAGCUUAGAUAACACACAUUUAUUUUUCCAUCUCUUAACUGGAUUUCAUGUCAACAUUAGAAAGCCACCACAAGUCUAUGUUUAUCAAAAUUGUUGACUUUUGUGCAUCCAAAAACUAUAUAUAGUGGGUGUUCUCCAUCUUGCUAAAAUGACUUGGGCUGCAUCAGUGUCCAUGGCCCAAUAAAGAAAGAUCUUCACCCUCAUGAGGGUGUAGACCUUUUUUUUUUUUUUAAUUUUAACAACUUUUAAACUGUAAAAUAUGACAGAGGUACAGAGAACCAUGUAAAACAAAUUUGUACUUCAAUGGAUUAUUAACAGGUGAACAUUCUUGUAACUGUCACUCAGGUCAGAAAAAAGAACUUUUCCAGUCACCCUAGAAGCCUCUCUUGUGUUGUCUGUCCCAGUCACAGCCCCUGCCUCCCCAAUAAGUGUACAGAGUUUAUUUUAAUCACUUCUUUGCAUUUUUCAAUAGUUUCAUCACACUGAUAGACAUCCUUAAGUAUCUAUUCUAAAUAAAUAGAAAUUAGUAUUUUUCUAUUUCCAGAGACUAGACUGAGGAUAAUAGCUUCCCUAAUUAGGCACAGAAGGGAAUUGACCAUUUUUAUGGUUCUGAAGAGUUGAUGAUAAAGUUAUUCUUCAUUUUUCAGAACAACCUUUUUGCUAGCCUGUUUAUCUUGUUUCAUUUCCUGAAAAGCAUGGGAAAUUUAUCCUAUCUUGAAGUACUUGAUACUUAAAACUACUCCUUUAAAGAAACUACUCUUCCAUCUCUUCUCCUAGCAAACGAAAUGUGUCUUUGGCUUAGACUUUUCGAAUGUUGUAAGAUCCAUGGCUUUGCUUAUUAAGAAUCUUAAUGGAAAUCCUGUGAAAUUGGACUGUGAUGAUCAUUAUAUAACUACAAAUGUGAUAAAUUCAUUUGAG